UCUCAACCACACGGUUGUGACUCUCAGAGUUACAGCAUCUCUUUCUCCUCUACCUCCCUCUUCUCUUCUCAUCUUUUUCUUUUUAUUUACAUGGUAUCAGAGAAGAUCCUUAGGUGCUGCUAAACUUUCAUCUUAGGAUCUUGUUCACCUUUCUUCUAAGCUUUCAAUCAAUAUUGAUUGUCUACUUGAUUUUCCUUUUAUCCUAGUGCACAAGAAAAACUAGGGUUUCAUGACUGAUUUCGGUUGAUUUUGUAUAAUGAAUCUCUACUAGUAUUUGCUUUGGUUUGUCUCAAAAGAAGACAUGCGGCUCCACUAUUGUUUCCAGGUGUAAUGUUACACGUGAGGGGGAGAUUGGAGUUCCUAUUUGCUCAACCAUCAAUGAUUGGAGUUAUUGUCUGCUCAAGAUUAUUUCCAUUGAAAAUUGAUUUAUUGUUAAGUAUUUGCUCGUGUCCCUGGCAACAAUUUUUAUCUUUUGGAGAUGGUUAUAUUCAGUGACCUGAUGUUGUUUUGUAUAUUUAGCAACCUGAUGUUGUUUGGUCCUCAACAACCUAAUGUUGCUCCUUAGUUCGCAAUAACCAAUACUACAGAAUUUUGUCUAAGACCUUUGUUUGGGGAGAUCACUAUUUGAGGCUCGACUGCUUUUGAUCUAGCUGUUGGAUGCUACACUUUUGUUGUAGUGUCUUCUAUGGGAAGUGCUUGUUAUGUAGAUACUGGAUGCUACCCUUUUGUUGAAGUGCCUUCUAUAGGAAGGGCUUUUGAUGUAGCAGCGCAAUGAUGGAUCGACCCAAACCAGCUGCAGAACCCAGACAAAAAACCAAAUCCUAUUUGGGAUCAAAGUUACUGAUUUGGGUUCAAGGAUAUUGGAAUAUUCUAGGAUUUUAUUUUAUUUGUAAUCUUUUAUUUUAGGUAGUUUUUAGAUAGGGAACAAGUUUCCAAUUUGAGUCCUUUGUUUCUAAUUCUGUUAGUCUAGAUUUUUGCAGAUUUUAUUUUUAUUUAGUCUUUGGCUUUAAUUAGGAAGCUGUAAUUUUAGUUUAUUACAAAUAAGGCAUGUAACCCAGGUUAUGGAAAAUUAAUGAAGAAUGAAUUGAAAUUGGAAAACCACUGCGUGGCUGCCUUCUUCCUCCCCCCCCCCCCCCUUUUCCUUCUUCUUUGAGAUCUCUUCUUUCCCCCUUCUCUCAUAUCUUCCUUGUCCAGUGAGACAACCCCCCUUCUUCUUCUUCCCUGCGACCUCCCUAUCUCCCCUCUUCUCCUGUCUUUCUUUCUCCUUGUUCUCUCUUCUUUUCUAGUUCUCUGUAACUGUGUUCUUAGAAGUCCAGCAAGGAAGGUACUGAACCCCUUCCCUUCCCUUCUUCUUCUCUUCCAACUUCUCUUCAUUCCUUUUCUGUUUCGUUUUCUGCAACUUGUGAUGCAAGCAGACUGAAAAGCAAUUGUUUGAGCUCUCAUCUCUAAUCUGUUGGACUUGAAGUUUGGGUUGAAGGUUACUACCCUGUAAGCAACCCAAAUCCCUGGGGUUUCAACUCCUGGAUCCCCUUCUUUAGUACGUUCCUUCCCUGCAACCAGAAGAGAGCACAACCCCUUCCUCCAGGCCUUGUUUCAGAAUUUUCCAAGCUAACCUGAGGCUACUGGCUCGAGUUAUCGUGGUUUACUAUCGGUUGAGCCGAGUCUUAUGAAUUGAUACCUGAAACUUCACUUCGAGUGGAGCCCACAUAGGUGAGAUCGAUCACCUGAAACCAGACUGGUUCUGCAGCCCUUGUUUUUGUCCAAAGGUUGAAGACAACCCAAAUCGUGGGUUUUGUUUUAAAUCCCCUUAUUCUGGUUUUCCCAUUGUAUCCUCAUAAAGCCUCUUUAUACCUCCCGGUCCUUUAGUCACAUUCAGUUCCAAAUCUGACCCUAAACAAUAAAUCAAAUUCCCACUUGUGUCCACUCUUCUUGACUGACCCAUUUAACAUUAGAAAGUUCUGGGAUUUACAAAGAUGCCAUUCCACCCUUAUGAACUUCAGUCUAUUUACUGUUUUGCCACUUGAUUCUAAACAUCAGUAUAUUUACUGUUUUGGCCACCUAAUCUCAGUCUUAAGAACUUAAGUUCUUAAGUAGGCUCACAGCCAUCCAAGUUUGGGUCUUUUUUUUGGGGCCCACCGGCCCCGCAUUAGCUUUUUAUGUAGCUAUUGGAUGCUACGCUUCUAUUCUAAGCUGUUGUUGGAGUGCCUUCUUUGGGAAGGGCUUUCAAUGUUGUUAUUGUUGCUACUGCCUAUUUUGUUUGUUGCUGAUGGUUCUGCUUGGUUUAUUCGACAUGACAUUUUUUUUAUCUAGUGAUGUUUGAUGUGUUUGAGCUGACAUUGCUAGCUUUAUGAUGGUUGAUUGGAGUUCCCUCUUCACUCAUUGGAGUUCUUGUUGGUUCAAGCUGGAGGUUUUUUUUUAUACAUGUAUGCUCCAGCUUGUGGGGGAAUAUUAGAAGUUAUCGAUUAAGGGUUUCACAUCACUGUUCACAUGAAUAGUGUUCACGGGUAUUGUUCAUGUGAACAGUAACUCGUGAGCAAUAACCUCUCUUUUUUUUAAUGUCCUUUAUUUCCUUUUAUGCUCUUUAAUAGGGUUGUGUGACAUCUCACUAUUAUAUAUACUAAAUGAAGUGGGCAGUCUCAAUCACACGGUUGUGACUCCCAGAGUUACAACAUCCUCUUUCUCCUCUUUCUCCUCUUCCUCUUCUCUUCUCUUCUCUUCUAUUCUCUUUUCUCUUUCUUUCUAUUUACAAUCCCCAUUGUCCGCUUACGUACACUCUCUCAUGGGGCUUUUUUUAUUCAUUUUCUUUGUCCUCUCUGACCACUGUGGUCCCUAUGGAUGAUACCAUUCUGCGUGCUCCAUUGGUGUGGUGUGGUAGAUUCUUCAUAUGCCGACAGUAUGGGAAACCCUAUCCCUUUGACAAUUGAUAUAAUACCGAAGUUUAGCUUUCAGUUUUCAUCAAAAAAAGUUUAGCUGUUCAGUUGAAGGGUGCCAUAUUCACCUUGAGGGUGGAAGAUAGCAUUAUUUUAGUUUAUGCUGGUUUGUCUAAUUUCUGUACUUUUUUUUAAGUUGAUCUUCCUUAGAAGAGACGCAUCAAAGCUCUAAGGCAACCCAAGGAGUAAUACUCUUUUUUUUUUUUUUUUUUUUUU